rnacentral:rRNA from 1 species
UACGAGUGCCCUCGAGCGUUAUCCGGAAUUAUUGGGCGUAAAGCGCGCGUAGGCGGUUUGUUAAGUCAGAUGUGAAAGCCCAUGGCUCAACCAUGGACGUGCAUUUGAAACUGGCAGACUUGAGUAUUGGAGGGGUGGUGGAAUUCCCGGUGUAGAGGUGAAAUUCGUAGAUAUCGGGAGGAAUACCGGUGGCGAAGGCGACCACCUGGCCAAAUACUGACGCUGAGGUGCGAAGGCGUGGGGAGCAAACAGGAUUAGAUACCCCUGUAGU